rnacentral:rRNA from 1 species
CGAGGGGAGUGAAAAAGAACCUGAAACCGUGUACGUACAAGCAGUGGGAGCACAGAGCAAUCUGUGUGACUGCGUACCUUUUGUAUAAUGGGUCAGCGACUUAUAUUCUGUAGCAAGGUUAACCGAAUAGGGGAGCCGAAGGGAAACCGAGUCUUAACUGGGCGUUAAGUUGCAGGGUAUAGACCCGAAACCCGGUGAUCUAGCCAUGGGCAGGUUGAAGGUUGGGUAACACUAACUGGAGGACCGAACCGACUAAUGUUGAAAAAUUAGCGGAUGACUUGUGGCUGGGGGUGAAAGGCCAAUCAAACCGGGAGAUAGCUGGUUCUCCCCGAAAGCUAUUUAGGUAGCGCCUCGUGAAUUCAUCUCCGGGGGUAGAGCACUGUUUCGGCAAGGGGGUCAUCCCGACUUACCAACCCGAUGCAAACUGCGAAUACCGGAGAAUGUUAUCACGGGAGACACACGGCGGGUGCUAACGUCCGUCGUGAAGAGGGAAACAACCCAGACCGCCAGCUAAGGUCCCAAAGUCAUGGUUAAGUGGGAAACGAUGUGGGAAGGCCCAGACAGCCAGGAUGUUGGCUUAGAAGCAGCCAUCAUUUAAAGAAAGCGUAAUAGCUCACUGGUCGAGUCGGCCUGCGCGGAAGAUGUAACGGGGCUAAACCAUGCACCGAAGCUGCGGCAGCGACGCUUAUGCGUUGUUGGGUA